UUCAGAUGACCUUGAAGAGAAACUGAUCUGCAUUUUACUGCAGAUCCCUGCUGAAAGAGAUGUGCAACCGGAGCUCUCUCCGUCGCGACCAUUGGCAUCACAAAGCAGGCCAUCCAGCUCUUCCAACCCCCCUUGCUGACCAUGAGAUGUCUCAGCAGCCAGUCGGUAUGACAGGUUCCUCAGGAUGCAAACACAGUUCUCCACAGUCUGCGAACAGAGCGAGAUGGGAGAGAUGAAGGCGGAAGAGAAGCAGGCGGACCAAGGCAGGAAUCCCCCCGCAGUUCUUCAGGGUUACUUUGUUCUCAUCAUUGGCCUUGCCAUACACCAGGUUUCUCAAGGCUCCGCAGGCGCUGCGAUGGACCUCACUCAUCCUGUG